GAUGAACGCUGGCGGCGUGCCUAAUGCAUGCAAGUCGAGCGAACAGACGAGGAGCUUGCUCCUUUGACGUUAGCGGCGGACGGGUGAGUAACACGUAGGUAACCUACCUAUAAGACUGGGAUAACUUCGGGAAACCGGAGCUAAUACCGGAUAAUAUUUCGAACCGCAUGGUUCGAUAGUGAAAGAUGGCUUUGCUAUCACUUAUAGAUGGACCUGCGCCGUAUUAGCUAGUUGGUAAGGUAACGGCUUACCAAGGCAACGAUACGUAGCCGACCUGAGAGGGUGAUCGGCCACACUGGAACUGAGACACGGUCCAGACUCCUACGGGAGGCAGCAGUAGGGAAUCUUCCGCAAUGGGCGGAAGCCUGACGGAGCAACGCCGCGUGAGUGAUGAAGGUCUUCGGAUCGUAAAACUCUGUUAUUAGGGAAGAACAAACGUGUAAGUAACUGUGCACGUCUUGACGGUACCUAAUCAGAAAGCCACGGCUAACUACGUG
rnacentral:rRNA from 1 species